UGGAUUAAUUCAUCACCACCUCAUUCUUCAUAAGCUAAUGAUUAGUAUAUACAUUAAGAGUGAGUUGAUUCUAUGAAAUAAACUUAUGAUGCAUCACCUCAUAAAGUAUAGAGUGACUCCACAAACCAAACACAUCGUAUAUGUGUCUGUGAGUGAUGAGAUGUGGUUGAUUUAAAAGACACACAACCACUCAACCAGUGAUGAAGUCCCAGCUGAGCCGAGUUCAUUCGCCACUCGCGCCGCCGCCGUACGGUCUCCACGCGUCAACGAAAUGCCGCAGCUCUGGAGGCAGCCGCGCCCUCCACGCGGCCGCCGUCACCGGCGGCCCCGUCAUCGCCACCCAGCUCCCGUCCACGUGCAGCACCGACACCGCGCCCUCCCCGAACGCCGCGGCCAUGGCCCGCAGCGUGGCGUCCUUGACCGCCGCGCCGUCCCGCCCCUCGUCCUCGGCCUCCACGCCCGCGCCGCCGCAGUUCACCAUCACCCUGCCCCCGGGCGCCACGAGCGCUCCCAGCCGCCGCCACGUGCCCGGCUCCUGGAGCGCCGGCAGCACGCUGCCGCGGGCGAACAGGUCGACCGCGGCGCCGCCGAAGCCGCCGGGCGGCGCGCGGGCCUCCAGCGCGUCGCCGACGUGCACGGACAGGCGCGCCGCGUGGCGCCUCUCCAGGUCCGCGAGGCCGAAGAAGUCGCGCGCCACGGCGACCACGGCGGGGUCCAGCUCCCAGCCGUGCACGGAGAUGUCCGGGUAGAAGUGCAGCAGCGCGCGGGCGGCGGCGCCGGCGCCGAAGCCGAGCACCGCGAGCGACGGCCGCGGGAGGAGCGGCGGCAGGGUGGCGAAGGCGUCGAGGUAGGUGCCGGUGAGCGGGGGCCGGUCGCCGCGGCGCGGGAAGGUGAGGGAGUGGAUGUUGCCCGGGCCGUCCAGGAGCAGGAGGCGGGCGCCGGCCAGCGGGUGGCCCGCGGCCCGCGGGGAGACGUCGGCCACGCGGAUGUGGUUGUAUGGGGACCGGAUGUCCGCCACCAGCUGGAGCUCGUCGGGGAGAGGGUGGACACUGGGGGACCUUGCGGCGGCGGCGGCUGCAGAGGCGUUGGUGCGCUUGGGGCAGAGGCGGAAGCCGUUCGGCAGUGGAUUAGGCUUGAGCGCCAGCAGCGCCAUCCUCGUCACGGCGAUUUGUUUCACCUGCCUGUCGAUUUUUGUCUUUGUACUAAGAAUAUCCGCGUGUUAAAAUUUAGAGGGCCAUCUACACAGUCUCUCGAAGAUACAUUUUUUUAUAAUAUUAGCUGUAAUAACCCGUUAACUCCCGGACGGCCAUCUCAUAUCAUAGAGUAUUCCCGCACUUUCUUUUCGAUCGAUCAACUAUCUCAACA
rnacentral:misc_RNA from 1 species